GAUGAACGCUGGCGGCGUGCCUAAUACAUGCAAGUCGAGCGAACAGACGAGGAGCUUGCUCCUCUGACGUUAGCGGCGGACGGGUGAGUAACACGUGGAUAACCUACCUAUAAGACUGGGAUAACUUCGGGAAACCGGAGCUAAUACCGGAUAAUAUAUUGAACCGCAUGGUUCAAUAGUGAAAGACGGUUUUGCUGUCACUUAUAGAUGGAUCCGCGCCGCAUUAGCUAGUUGGUAAGGUAACGGCUUACCAAGGCAACGAUGCGUAGCCGACCUGAGAGGGAGAGGAGCCAGACUGAAACAGAGAUACGGUCGAGACUCCAACGGGAGGCAGCAGUAGGGAAUAUGCGACAAUGGGCGAAAGCCUGAAAAAGCAACGCAGCGUGAGUGAAGAAGGUUUUCGGAUCCUAAAACUCUGUUAUCAGGGAAGAACAAAAAAGUAAGUAACUAUGCACGUCUAGACGGGACCUAAACAGAAGGACACGGCAAACUACGUG
rnacentral:rRNA from 1 species